AAAAAACUGUCCCAUAAUUUCCUUUUCCUUUCUCUCUUUCCUUCCUUUCACUCUUCCUCGUCUCUCUCCAGCCGGGAAAUACUAUUUUCCGGCCAACCAAACGCACCAAAAAAAACCCAUUUUAAAUACAAUAAAUAAAUUAAAUUCUUUAUAUUUAUAAUAUUAUUUUGCAUUGUUUCAAGUAAGUUAUAUAUAUUUUUUAGGAUUAACAGAGAAAUUGUAGAACUUACUUGCUGUGUUAUCAAGUUUCUGAAACCCUAGGAGAGACCAAAACCCUAAACGAUGAACCACUACGACCACAGACUCGCGGAUCCGAGCUCCUACAGAGACCGGCGAAGUGACCUUAUCGGCCCGACUCAGGCGGCAACGGGACCUGGUAUGGGAGGCCCGGGACCGAGUUAUGGCCGCCUCGGAGGUCCAGUUUCGUACGGAGGCUCGGCUGGAAGAGGGGUUUCUGGAUCAGUGCCCAAUGCUGGAAAUAUCAAUGGGUAUCCGCCGUUUCAGCCCCCUGCUAGUCGGUUUGAUAUGGGUCGAGGUGGAGGCCGCGGUGGAGGAGGACGGGGAAGGGGUUUUGACUCGGGCAGUCGAGGUGGCGAUAGAUUUGGAGGAAGUAGGAGUUUUGAUGACGCCGGGACAGGGGGUAAGAGUUAUGGUGGUGGUCGUGGUGAGAGUUUUGGGUCUUCUGGUGGGCGUGGUGGUGGGAGAGGUUUCGAUGGCCGUGGUGGUGGAAGAGGAGGCAGAUUUAGUGCUCCCUCGAGAGGGGAAUUGGAUAACGUGGCCCUUCCUAGACAGGAUUUUGGAAAUUUAGUUCCUUUUGAGAAGAAUUUCUACAUUGAGAGUCCUUCAGUCAGGGCAAUGUCAGAGCAUGAAGUAAUGCUCUACCGUUCAAGGCGGGAAAUCACUGUUGAAGGGCACGAUGUCCCGAAGCCAAUUCGGAUGUUUGAGGAAGCUAAUAUUCCUGAUUAUUGUCUUGAGGUAAUUGCAAAGUUGGGCUUUGCGGAACCAACAGCAAUUCAGGCCCAAGGAUGGCCAAUGGCUCUCAAGGGUAGGGAUUUAAUUGGCAUUGCUGAGACUGGUUCCGGUAAAACUUUGGCGUAUCUGCUACCAGCUUUGGUUCAUGUCAGCGCUCAACCUCGAUUAGCUUACGGUGAAGGUCCUAUUGUAUUAGUAAUAGCACCUACUAGGGAAUUGGCCGUUCAAAUUCAAGAAGAAGUUGUGAAGUUUGGUUUGCGUGCCAGUGUUAGGAGUACUUGCAUAUAUGGUGGUGCUCCAAAAGGACCUCAAAUUCGAGAUCUUAAAAGAGGGGUUGAGAUUGUCAUUGCUACACCCGGUCGACUGAUUGAUAUGUUGGAAGCUCAGCACACAAAUUUGCGAAGAGUGACUUACCUUGUAUUGGAUGAGGCUGAUCGGAUGUUGGACAUGGGAUUUGAGCCUCAGAUACGGAAAAUUGUGGCGCAGAUCCGGCCAGAUAGACAGACAUUGUACUGGAGUGCCACAUGGCCAAGGGAGGUUGAAGUCCUAGCAAGGCAGUUUCUGCGCAAUCCCUAUAAGGUAGUCAUUGGAUCAACAAACUUGAAAGCAAAUCAAUCUAUUAACCAAAUUGUUGAAGUUAUGACUGAUAUGGAGAAAUACAAUAGGCUGAUAAAACUUCUUAAAGAAGUGAUGGAUGGGAGUAAGAUUUUGAUAUUUAUUGAGACAAAGAAAGGAUGUGACCAAGUAACAAGGCAAUUGAGAAUGGAUGGGUGGCCUGCUCUAUCCAUCCACGGUGACAAAAACCAGACCGAAAGGGACUGGGUCCUUGCUGAAUUUAAGAAUGGCAGAAGCCCUAUAAUGACUGCCACUGAUGUGGCUGCACGGGGUCUUGGUAGGAUCAAUGUGUUUUAGGAGUCUUUUGUUUCAUUUAAGUCUUGAUUUUUCCAAGAUAAGCGAGUCGCCGGCUGCUGUCCAGUUUCCUGAGAAUAUAAAUUGUGGUUGGGUGCAAAGGCAGGGUAUUUAUAUACGGCAACUAUGACUGCUUGUAGUUUACUUCGUCUGUUGGCACCUUGCUUUUAACCUGAGCAAGCAAUCUAUGAGUUUCAUUGGAGGCAGUAAGACUUUCUCCUGUUCUUUAGGAACUUUAUCGUAGUCCAGUGCUAGCAUAUCUAAUCUUUCUUAUGGUUCAUUGACGUUGCCCUUGAUGGAAAAGUUUGAUUUAUCUGCAUUGGGCAUUAGUAUAAAUGUUGAGGCCAUAUAUUACCAUAGUCAUAGUUGCCACAAGGAAAGUCAUUUGUUGUAAGAUGGUUUAUGUGGCUACCUUUGUGAGUUUGAACUAGUUCUAUACCUGGAGGUGCUGAAUGGUAUUGAUACCAAUUAUCUGGUGUUUAGAUAAAAUGAACUUUGCGGUGCCCAUCCACUGUUUGGAGCUGGUUAUUUCUGCAGCCCGGUUGACUCACACAUGCUUAUUGAUUUUUUGGAUAUGGAAGUGGUGGUGGUGAAGCUGCUCCUUAUCCCUGCAACGUUAAGGUGGGCACAUUUGUACGAUGAAUGUGUUAUCUUAAAUUUGAUCUACUGAUCUUAGGGUGCAGGGAUAAGAUGUGAAGGACAUAAAACUUGUGAUCAAUUAUGAUUUCCCGUCAAGCCUCGAGGACUAUGUCCACAGGAUCGGCCGAACUGGUCGCGCAGGAGCUAAGGGAACUGCCUUCACGUUUUUUACGCAGGCUAAUGUGAAAUAUGCUCGGGAAUUGAUUAAGAUCCUGCAGGAAGCAGGUCAGAUAGUGAGUCCCGCACUGU